rnacentral:rRNA from 1 species
GUUGAACGCUGGCGGCAUGCCUAACACAUGCAAGUCGAGCGGAGAAAGGGAGGUUUCUCCUGGAUUCAGCGUCGGACGGGUGAGUAAUGCCUAUGAAUCUGCCGGGUGGUAGGGGGUGACGUCCGUAAACGAGCGCUGAUACCACAUACUUCCUGAAGGAGAUACUUGGGGUUCUUCUGACCUCACGCUUUCAGAUGAUACUAGGUCGGAUUAGCUAGUUGGGGGGGUAAAGGCCUCCCAAGGCUACGAUCCGUAACUGGUCUGAGAGGAUGAUCAGUCACCCUGGACCUGAGCCACGGUCCAGCCUCCUCCGGGAGGCAGCAGUGGGGAAUAUUGGACAAUGGGCGAAAGCCUGCUCCAGAAAUGCGGGGUGUGUGAAGAAGGUCUUCGGACUGUAAAGUCUGUUAAGUUGGGAGGAAGGGCAGUAAGUUAAUAACUUGAUGUUUUGACGUUAUCAACCGAAUAAGCAACGGCUAACUUCGUG